ACAUGCAAGUCGGACGGUAGCACAGAGGAGCUUGCUCCUCGGGUGACGAGUGGCGGACGGGUGAGUAAUGUCUGGGAAACUGCCCGAUGGAGGGGGAUAACUACUGGAAACGGUAGCUAAUACCGCAUAACGUCGCAAGACCAAAGUGGGGGACCUCCGGGCCUCACACCAUCGGAUGUGCCCAGAUGGGAUUAGCUGGUAGGCGGGGUAACGGCCCACCUAGGCGACGAUCCCUAGCUGGUCUGAGAGGAUGACCAGCCACACUGGAACUGAGACACGGUCCAGACUCCUACGGGAGGCAGCAGUGGGGAAUAUUGCACAAUGGGCGCAAGCCUGAUGCAGCCAUGCCGCGUGUAUGAAGAAGGCCUUCGGGUUGUAAAGUACUUUCAGCGGGGAGGAAGGUGUUGAGGUUAAUAACCUCAGCAAUUGACGUUACCCGCAGAAGAAGCACCGGCUAACUCCGUGCCAGCAGCCGCGGUAAUACGGAGGGUGCAAGCGUUAAUCGGAAUUACUGGGCGUAAAGCGCACGCAGGCGGUCUGUUAAGUCAGAUGUGAAAUCCCCGGGCUUAACCUGGGAACUGCAUUUGAAACUGGCAGGCUUGAGUCUCGUAGAGGGGGGUAGAAUUCCAGGUGUAGCGGUGAAAUGCGUAGAGAUCUGGAGGAAUACCCGGUGGCGAAGGCGGCCCCCUGGACGAA
rnacentral:rRNA from 1 species